ACCUGCCUCCCUUUCUUAUCGAAUUAGAUUUCGUUAAACUAUACUCUUUGCCAUCAUCUUUAUCUUUAUUUCCCUAAGCUUUUAUAUGCCGAGAUGUUUACUCUUUAUGCUCGUAGUAAACGGGUAAUUGUUGAUCUCCCGAAGACGAUCAUGACCCGGGGGGGGGGUGUGAUAUAGUAGAUCCGUAGUUAUUACCACUCGAGAACUGAUUGAGCCCGUUGAUCUUUCGUUCCCUGAGAAGUGAAAUUACGCUUAAUACCAUCCUCGAGUUUCAGUUGAUAGGCUCGUGGUUAAUGAAUCCCAGAAGCGCAUUUUGAAGUUGGCUGCUAUGAAGAGGAUUAUCAAAAAACAAAUCUGACUCCAAGAAAGAAGACGAACCCGUUAGUCCUCUCAAGAAGAGGACUAAAUCUAGCAAAAAGCAAGUGAGUCAGGAAGUGAUCAGAGCAGUCCCCAAGUCAAUCCCACUAAGACUCAACUUCGCCUUGUUAAUGAGUUUGAGGAAGCCGCUUUUGUUGUCGUAGAAGAUAAAUUUGAUGCACUGACUAUGGAGUCGGUUGAAGCCUUGUUUGACGCUGGUUUUGGUGGUUCCGCUGAUGAGGGCCAUUUUUAUGAAGUUCGACGUUUUAUGCUUCCCCCUUCUUCUUUAACUCCGGAACCACUUCCCAAUGUUUUUACUCUCCCUUGCUUAUUUUCUUUGUUGUUUUCAUCGUCGUUGAUAAGUGAUGAAAGCCAUUUUUUUUGUUUAUUUUUGCAAAGGGAAGAGGAUCAAAUUUACCCAUCUACUUUCGGAUAUUGUCUACAUUUAAUCUCCGUUAUACUAUUCGGAUAAAUUUAUCCUUACCGUUA